GUUUUGUACCUCAUAUGUUCACAGGGUGGUGCCCAGUGCCCAGUGCCCAGCACAGUGUCUGACUCACUAGUAACCAGAUAAAGACUUACAGGAACCCUGCAACCUGAUAACUCAACACUGGUACAUGAAACCAGGAAAACAAUCCAGAAAGGCAGACAAGACUCCCAUUUUGAGAUGUCUUAGGAUCCAGAGUUACACUGUUCAGUACAAUUGUCACUAGCCACAAGAGACCAUUCAAAUUUAAAUUCACUAAAUUAAGAAGAAUGGUAGAAUCUGUUUUUCAACGAUGUCAGUCUUAUUGCCAGUGCUCAGUGGUCACACUGGUUGUAGCUUUCUAGUUCCCAUCAUCAAAGCUAGUUCCAAAGGGAGAGGUUUUUGUUUCUGAUAAUUAUGGUGAGCUUUAUCUAUUCCUAUACCCUUGUGAGAGCACUGGGAUUCACUGUUUCUGUAACAGUGACUUGGAACUCAUAUAGCUUGGUCAAUGACAAGUCUGGUAUUGAAUCCAAUUACUCUGAUGCCACAGAUUGUUGUGGAUUAAUGGGAUGUGGACAUACUACGGAUUUCCUUACAACGUACCAGGGUAGGAAACAAACAACCAAAACAUCAAAGUUCUCUUUUGGCUUCCUGUGUGAAUACAGUCAAUUAUGAAGACAGAAUGGAAGCACCAGUGUGCUGGGAGAUGGGUUUAUGAGUAGCCUUGACUAAUCCAAUAAGUCAUCAAAGGGAAUUUUAGAGACACAGAGGGGUGGGACAGCCAAUCCUGUCCCUUAGGCCACUCAGCUGGUAGAAGCAGAAACAGACACCCAUAGCUAAACACUGAAUCGAACUAGAAUCCAGUUGCAGAGAAGGAGGAGUGAUGAGCAAAGGGGUCCAGACCAGGUUGGUGAAACCCACAGAAACAGCUGACCUGAACAAGGGGGAACUCUUGGUCCCCAGACUGAUAGCUGGGAAACCAGCAUGGGACUGAUCCAGACCCCAUGAAUGUGGGUGUCAGUGAGGAGGCCUGGGCAAUCUGUGGGGCCCCCUUGUAGUAGAUCAGUACUUAUUCUUAGCAUAGGAAUGGAUUUUGGGAGCCCAUCCCACAUAGAGGGAUACUCCCUGAGCCUAGACAUACAGGAUGGACCUAGGACCUAUCCCAAAGGAUAUGACAGAUUUAGAAGACUCCUCCUAUGGAAGGCCUCACCCUCCCUUGGGAACAGAAAGGGUAUGGGAUAG
rnacentral:lncRNA from 1 species